rnacentral:rRNA from 1 species
AUCCUGGCUCAGGACGAACGCUGGCGGCGUGCCUAAUACAUGCAAGUCGAACGCGUCUCCGUUAAUGAUUUUAGGUGCUUGCACUUGAAAGAUUUAACAUUGAGACGAGUGGCGAACUGGUGAGUAACACGUGGGUAACCUGCCCUUGAAGUAGGGGAUAACACUUGGAAACAGGUGCUAAUACCGUAUAACAACCAAAACCACCUGGUUUUGGUUUAAAAGACGGCUUCGGCUGUCACUUUAGGAUGGACCCGCGGCGUAUUAGCUUGUUGGUAAGGUAACGGCCUACCAAGGCGAUGAUACGUAGCCGACCUGAGAGGGUAAUCGGCCACAUUGGGACUGAGACACGGCCCAAACUCCUACGGGAGGCAGCAGUAGGGAAUCUUCCACAAUGGACGAAAGUCUGAUGGAGCAACGCCGCGUGAGUGAUGAAGGGUUUCGGCUCGUAAAACUCUGUUGUUGGAGAAGAACAGGUGUCAGAGUAACUGUUGACAUCUUGACGGUAUCCAACCAGAAAGCCACGGCUAACUACGUGCCAGCAGCCGCGGUAAUACGUAGGUGGCAAGCGUUGUCCGGAUUUAUUGGGCGUAAAGCGAGCGCAGGCGGUUUUUUAGGUCUGAUGUGAAAGCCUUCGGCUUAACCGGAGAAGUGCAUCGGAAACCGGGAGACUUGAGUGCAGAAGAGGACAGUGGAACUCCAUGUGUAGCGGUGAAAUGCGUAGAUAUAUGGAAGAACACCAGUGGCGAAGGCGGCUGUCUGGUCUGUAACUGACGCUGAGGCUCGAAAG